AUGCUGAGAGUAUCCGAGUACAGUUGCCUUCCAAGCAAAAGGACCUUUUAAUAGGUCAGCAUA
rnacentral:tRNA from 1 species